CAGUAGCCGCGGUAACACGUAGGUGGCAAGCGUUGUCCGGAAUUAUUGGGCGUAAAGGGCUCGCAGGCGGUUUCUUAAGUCUGAUGUGAAAGCCCCCGGCUCAACCGGGGAGGGUCAUUGGAAACUGGGAAACUUGAGUGCAGAAGAGGAGAGUGGAAUUCCACGUGUAGCGGUGAAAUGCGUAGAGAUGUGGAGGAACACCAGUGGCGAAGGCGACUCUCUAGUCUGUAACUGACGCUGAGGAGCGAAAGCGUGGGGAGCGAACAGGAUUAGAUACCCCCGUAGUCCCUGUCUCUUAUAU
rnacentral:rRNA from 1 species